GGAAUGCCAUAUCCCCUGAUCUAUUUGACUCAAACUUUAACAUUCUAUUGAAAGAACACAUCUUCCUAAUAUGGAAAAAUGUGCACAAUAUUUAAACAGUCUAAUAUUCAGAGCCUUCCACCAAAUGUGUGCCUAAACUCCAUUCCAUGUCACACAGCUCAAAAAUGUCCAUUAUAAACUAUCUGCUCUAUUCAAGCUGGCCUCCAAUGCUCUUCUGACUCAGACUUAAUCUAGAGGCCUGUCCUGAUGCAUCCUCAACACAGCAGGGAAAGCAGGAAGAGAGAAAUGCUAACACGAUAUUCUGGUGACGAGUAUUGAUGUGUGUCUGGAGCUGGGCGAACAUCUAAUAUUCAAACGGGUGCUCGUGGGUGAAGCAGAAGAUGAGUGAAAGCUAACAGGAGCCUGGCAUCAGCUGGCUUCCCUGGAGCCCGGUUGGUAAGACUGAGGUCCAUGAAGAUGUGACCCACAAAGGCGAGUGAUGUGGCUGAAUUCACACGCCCAGGGUGGCUGUCAUGGAAGGACACUAACCUAGAUGGCAAUGAUUGGAGCUGAUGAAACAGGAGAAAGUGGCAGCACAAGUCAGGAAGGGAUGCUUAUUGGUACCCGCUAAGCAGACUUGAAGGCAGAAGUUACGGACCCAUUUGGUGAGUAUGUGCAUUAAACAGAGAGUGCAGUGUUGAAAGCCCCUGGGAAGUAGAGUCUGGAUUUCAGUGCAGACAGCCAGUUCAACCACUUAUUAGCUACAUGACACUGCUAAUGUAAAAACCUCCUGAGCCUUUUUACCUGUAAGAUGGAGAUGAUAAUGAUAUUAGCCAUUUAUAAAUGUACAGUGAGGAUUAAACGAGAUGAUACUUUAUCAAGUAAAGUAACUAGAAGUGCCAGGCAGACAAAAGAUACUAUUCAUUGUUACUCCACUGUCUCCGCAAGACUCAAUUUUCAACUUUGUAAAACAGUCAUAACAAUGCUUUUCUUAGCCAGUGUUGU